CGGCCUGAGAGGGCGACCGGCCACACUGGGACUGAGACACGGCCCAUACUCCUACGGGAGGCAGCAGUGGGGAAUAUUGCACAAUGGGCGCAAGCCUGAUGCAGCGACGCCGCGUGAGGGAUGACGGCCUUCGGGUUGUAAACCUCUUUCAGCAGGGAAGAAGCGAAAGUGACGGUACCUGCAGAAGAAGCGCCGGCUAACUACGUGCCAGCAGCCGCGGUAAUACGUAGGGCGCGAGCGUUGUCCGGAAUUAUUGGGCGUAAAGAGCUCGUAGGCGGCUUGUCGCGUCGGUUGUGAAAGCCCGGGGCUUAACCCCGGGUCUGCAGUCGAUACGGGCAGGCUAGAGUUCGGUAGGGGAGAUCGGAAUUCCUGGUGUAGCGGUGAAAUGCGCAGAUAUCAGGAGGAACACCGGUGGCGAAGGCGGAUCUCUGGGCCGAUACUGACGCUGAGGAGCGAAAGCGUGGGGAGCGAACAGGAUUAGAUACCCUGGUAGUCCACGCCGUAAACGGUGGGCACUAGGUGUGGGCAACAUUCCACGUUGUCCGUGCCGCAGCUAACGCAUUAAGUGCCCCGCCUGGGGAGU
rnacentral:rRNA from 1 species